ACCUGACUGGCUCAAGUGAAAGAGCGUGAGACUCUUGAUCUUGGGGCUGUGAGUUUGAGCCCCACAUUGGGUG
rfam:Felis catus isolate Cinnamon breed Abyssinian chromosome B3, whole genome shotgun sequence.